GACGAACGCUGGCGGCGUGCUUAACACAUGCCAGUCGAACGGAAAGGCCCUGCUUGCAGGGUACUCGAGUGGCGAACGGGUGAGUAACACGUGGGUGAUCUGCCCUGCACUUCGGGAUAAGCCUGGGAAACUGGGUCUAAUACCGGAUAGGAGCCAUUUUUAGUGUGAUGGUUGGAAAGUUUUUUCGGUGUAGGAUGAGCUCGCGGCCUAUCAGCUUGUUGGUGGGGUAAUGGCCUACCAAGGCGGCGACGGGUAGCCGGCCUGAGAGGGUGGACGGCCACAUUGGGACUGAGAUACGGCCCAGACUCCUACGGGAGGCAGCAGUGGGGAAUAUUGCACAAUGGGCGCAAGCCUGAUGCAGCGACGCCGCGUGGGGGAUGACGGCCUUCGGGUUGUAAACUCCGUUCGCUAGGGACGAAGCUUUUUGUGACGGUACCUAGAUAAGAAGCACCGGCUAACUACGUG
rnacentral:rRNA from 1 species